rnacentral:tRNA from 1 species
GUUCGGUCCCCCUCCCGUUAGGGAGGGGUCCCUCACUCCUUCUUAAGAAUAAAAAGGGGUUCGGUCCCCCUCCCGUAAG